GGUGUUUCUUCCAGAUCAGCCUCCUUUUCAUUCCAACUCUACGUGCCCAGAGCUUCAAAUACAGCCCUCCCAUCACAGUCAGACUCUCACAAAACUUCAAUCAGCUGCUUCUCCUCCUGGAAGAGAACCUGGAUGGGAGGAAGCUGGAAGGUGGGAAAGAAGAGGUGUGGAGUCAGCUGCAUCUGGCCUGGAUUCCAGUUCUGCUGUCUAUUUGCUGUGUGGUCCCAUGCAGGGAUUUGACUUCUCUGGGCUCAGCCUCAUCUCGGCCACCUCACCUCUGAUGGGAUGGCCUCAGUGGAGAGGUUCCUCUGUCACACCCUCCCUCCUGGUGGAUUGAAACCGUGCGCAAACCAACCCUUCUCUCCUUCGGCUGUUUCACCAGUCCAAAAGAGGGCUUGUAUUUCUUGGAACCCGAGUUACAGACAGUUGUGAGCUGUCACGUGGGUGCUGGCCCAUACCCGGGUUCUCCAGAAGAGCAGCCAGUGCUCUUAACCACUGAGCUGCCUUCUCCAGCUCCUGAACCUCGAAUUUCCAAUCCUCCUGCCUUCAUCUCCCAAGGGCUGGGAUUCCAGGCAUGUACCACCACACCUGGUUUUCAGAGUUGCUGGUGGAUAAAAACCCAGAGCUUCGAGCACACCAGGCAAGCACUCUGCCUGAAAUGCUCCCUCUUUCUCAGGAUUGGAACAGAACAAAGCUCCACUGAUACAUCAUUGAUUUGAAAAGGGUGGGGGCAAAGGAGAAGUGGAGAGCUCACAGCAAAGUCUUAGCAGCUUACUUGCUGUGAUGGGCUGGGCUCCAGGAAACCUUCACUUCAUGCUAAUACCUUCACCCACAAACCCUUGGCGGAAGUUCUGUCAUAUUGGUCACUUUAUACAUGCACAGCUCAAAGCACAGAGAGAUUAAACAGGGUGCCCAAGGUCACACAGCUAGGAUGUAACAGACUUGAGAUUCUUGCUCUGAGCUUCUCCCGCUGUAGGACUCCAUAUUCAGGAAUCAUUGAUUGUGUCCUGGGUAUGCUCUUCUCUCCCGCUCUAGAAGCCUCGGUAGCAAUUGGGGCUUGAGGGUGGUAACCAGGCCAAACCUAAUAUCCCGCAAAUGUUAUAACUGUAGUCUGCACACUGCACUCUGCCUGUCUUAAAGUGUUGGCCAGUACACAAUCGGAGCUCCAAAGUGUGGAGAGCCUGUGUGAGCUCUUCCUCUUCUGCCCUGUGCAGAGUGGAGUGAUGAGGAGUGUGAACUGAACAGGUUCCUUCCUCCUGAGCUUGGCUCUUGUGCUUAGCCCAGGCUUGCUCUGCUCUAAGAGGCUUCUGUGAACCCUGGGAGGCCAUCGUGAGGUGGUGGUGGACAGAGGGUUUGAGCCCCAAAGGCUUGCAGGAAGGUGCUUCUCAUUCUCAGAGCCUCAUUUUCUUCACUGGGGCAACUGUUGGGUUCAGUAAGGGUUACUUAUAGUAGGCCCCAGGACUGCGAGACUGAGAGGGUCCUCCAGGGAGGACAGCAGUGUUUCUCUACACAGCACUCGAGAUGUAGCUGUGGACUCUGACCCAUGCUAUUACCCCCAGCCUACGCUUCUUAGCAGCCAGCUCUCAACAGAGGUCAGGCACACCCCUCUUCCUCUCUGACAGGCUUGCUGGAUUUCUGCAUCCUCUACAUCCCUCUUAGUCCUUACUUGUGACAUACAGGCCUACUACUGUUAGAUAGCCACCAACUGGCUCGAGCCUGCAGGUGUGCCCCCUUUUAGUCUGUGCUGUUCUUGCUUCUGCACUCACCUCCUCUCUUCAUACACAUCUCUCAUGUCUCAUUCAUGUCCUUGUUGACAGCUUUGUUUUUCUACACAUGCACAUUCCCAAAACACAUACAAGAGUCACAGCCAUGGAGUCAACCUCACAGACCCAUACAUGUCCGCAGGGAUCACAGGACACACUGGCACUUCAUCUCUCUUUCCCCAUUCAAACAACCACACUAGUAGGACUCUCUCUAGGGCUGUAGCAUCCUUGGGACCAGUCUUUUUGUUUGUUUGCUUGUUUGUUUAAUGGUUUUUUGAGACAGGGUUUCUUUGUGUAGCUCUGGCUGUCCUGGUUCUCAUUCUGUAGAACAGGCUGGCCUUGAACUCAGGGAUCCUCUGCCUCUGCCUCUGCCUCUGCCUCUGCCUCUGCCUCUGCCUCUGCCUCUGCCUCUGCCUCUGCCUCUGCCUCUGCCUCUGCCUCUGCCUCUGCCUCUGCCUCUGCCUCUGCCUCUGCCUCUGCCUCUGCCUCUGCAGUGCUGGGAUUAAAGGAUACAACACCACAGCCUGGCUCGGGUCCAGUCUUAAGAUGGCAGAAGAUCAUUUCUCACAGUGAUGAGUGAGUGCCCUGAUUUCUCCGAGGAAUCUUUCCUCACCCAUAGACACUCACUUUAUUUCCGGUUUUUUAUCCUCUGCUCUAAACAGUGCUACAGCAACAUUCAUGUGCUCUCACUCUCCAACCAGGGCUUUUAUCUCCACCAAACACAAUUCCAGUCUCUGGUUCCUCUAUGGAAGGGCACAUGUAUUUUUUAUGCUAGACAAUGUUGCUAGGUGGCUCCACGGAAAACCUUGUAACACUUCACACUCUCCUCAGCAACCUGAGAGCCAGCUCUUCCCUUUCGGUCACUCCAGCGGGCCACGCUAGCACUGCUUAGCAUUUUUCCACGGGUGAUGGAGGCAACAUGAAACUUCACGGUCCCUAUAAUUUCAACUUCUUGUAAACUUUGUUCAUCUUUAAUAUGUGAGUUGACCACUUAGUCGUGUGCCAUGCCUGGCCUAGAAUCAUCUCUGCCCAACUCCAAUCCUCCUUGAUCAUUAGGAGUAGGCAGCUACUCUUUGCAUGCACGGGCACUAGCUUUUUGUGUCGCAACUGUGUUGCAAACAGUUUUAUACCCGAAUUGCUACUUUUCGUAUUGACUUUAUAAACGUUCUCUGUUGUCAUAAAAGUAAUGCUUGUGUAAUGAAAUGUCCUUUUAAAAUUUAUUUUUUCAAUAAGAAGUUUAUUGUAAGGUGGUGAUUGGGGGUGAUAUAUGCAUGUGUGUGCAUCCGUGGGGGCCAGAAGAGGGAGUAGGGAGGCCUGCCCCCACCCCCCCCCCAUCUUACUGACUUGAGGCAGGGUUUCCUUCCAGCCAGAAGCUGGAACAUUUUGGAGGCUGUUCUAGGGACCCUCCUGUCUCUGCCUCUUGCCUCUCGCCUCCGCCUCCGCCUCCGCCUCCGAGAUUAGGAAUAUGUGAGACCACACCUGUCUUUCCAUGGGUGCUGGGUAAUUCAGCUCAGGCCCUCAAGCCUGUGUGGUAAGCAUUCUGAUUCCCUGAGUCAGCUUCCCAACUCUGUGUCUUUCUUUUGAAACAUUACUUUUUUGAUACCCGAGACUUUUUUUUUUUGCCAGCUCCAACAUUUUCUUUCAUGAUAUCUAUUGCUUUAAAAAAUGUUUUUGGCUGUUAGCUCUCCAGUCCUCCCGGGGUUUACGUGUAUAAUGUAACAUGAGAUUUUAACCUGCUUCCAAAAGAUAGCGGCUUGCACAGGCAUCAUUAAUAAACAAUGUCUCCUUUUCCCAUUGGAUUGAAAAAGCAGCUCUGUUGUGUGUCUGAGGCUCCUGAAGGCACGGCUCUAAUUCUGUGCUGUCUUCGUCCUGCUCCGUGGACCACUUCCUCAUCAACACCCUUCAGGCUGUAUUUUUAUUUUCCAUGUGGUCUAGCUGUCCCUCAUUCUUCCUUCCUUGACACCAACCUAGACUGGUUGUAUUAAGUUGGGUCUGACUUCUCAUGGUAUCCUGGUAUCUAAACAGACUGAGCUUUCUGUCAGGGAGCAAAUAUGUCUGGAUGUCCUUGCUGCCCUCUCCUCUCCUCUCCUCUCCACUCCUCUCCUCUCCUCUCCUCUCCUCUCCUCUCCUCUCCUCUCCUCUCCUCUCCUCUCCUCAGAACCACUCAUUCUCCACCCUGAGAGCUGUAGCUAUUAAACCAGUGCUGUCUUCCAUUCCAGUGUACCAUCAACACACACACACACACACACACACACACACACGCACGCACGCACACACACACGUGCGCGCACAGAGAGAGAGAGAGAGAGAGAGAGAGAGAGAGCGAGCAGUGUAACCAGGCAAGCAGGGGCAGACCCUCUAGCACGGUGGUUCUCAACUUGCAUGAUGCUGUGACCCUUUAAUGCAGUUCCUCAGGUUGCGAUGGUGACCCCCAAGAAUAUAAUUAUUUUGUUGCUACCUCAUAACUGCAAUUUUGCUACUGUUAUGAAUCCUAAUGUAAAUGUAUGAGAUGCUGGCUAUCUUAUGUGUGAGCCCCCAAGGGGUCUUAACUCACAAGUUGAGAACCGCUGUAUUAAACAGUAACUCAAAGUAGCCAGUGUGUAGAUGGUCAGAGAUCAAAACGGCCCACAAAACAGAGAUGAGUUUGGGGUGAUGAGAGCUGGAAGCUUGUCACACUGGAGCUUCGACACCCUGCCCCCACCUGGACACCCCCUCGGCUAACCCUUCUCUGAGGUGUUAAGAUACAGAGAUGGCUAAGGCAGACAUAAGUCAGUUUCAGGUUUCAACAAUGGUAGGAUGUAUUAUUAUUUUUUUGAUGUGAAAACAAUAUUGUGCCUAUGUUUUUAAAAGGGACCCAGCUGGGCAUAAUUGGACUCACCUGUGAUCCCAGUACUCAGGAAGUUGAGGCAGGAGGAUCUCACAUUCCAGGCUAGCUGGGCUAAAUAAUGAGAUUCGCCCUCCCUCACAAAUAAAGCACACUAAACCAACACCCUCCCUCCCUUUAUUUUAGGGGAACUUGCCGAUUGUCUAACGAUAUGACGACAUUUGAAAUCUCCUUCUAAAUAACCUAGGUGGGGGCACCGGGGAAGGGAGGAUGAGGUGAGAUAGGCCACGGCUUGACUGUUCUGGGAGCUUGGUGGUGAGUUAGCAGUGAACUGUAAUAUUUUCCCUAAUGUAUACCUGAGAUAGCCUGUACUAAAAAGCUUAGGGCUGGGAUGUCGCUCAGUUGAUCGAGGACUUUCCUACUGUGCCCAAGUUCCCAGGUUCAAUGCCCAGCACUGUGAACACGAUGUGUGGUCUUCUUAGCCUCUGGGAGGCGGAGGCAGGAGGCUCAGAAAGAAGGUCAAAGUCGUCCUGGGCUACGGAGGGAGUUUGAAGCCAACUUGGGCUACACGACACCCUGUCUUAAAAACAAAGAGAGUUUUAAAUAUGCACACAGAGGCCAGCAAGAUGGCUUCACUGGUGGAAAAAUGCUCAAUGCUAAGCUAGUUCAAUCCCUGGAACCCACAUGGCAGAGGGAAAGAGCUGACUUCUACAAACUGUCUUCUGACCUUCACAAAUAGACUGUGGACUGUGCAUAUGCACACACACACACACACACACACACACACACACACACACACACACACACACAAAAUGCACAGAGGACAGCCAUAUUCUAGGCUUUGUUGGAUCUGCCUUGACUCCAGUCAUUUAUCAGAUGCUCAAAAUGGACCCCUGAGGGGGGUAAUUUCAUGGAUGAGAAGAGCUAGGCCCAUGGGGUCUGGUUCCUGCUCCAGGCCGAGGUGGAUGAGUGGCAUAGCUCACUCACCGGUACCUCAUCCCCCCACCCCCAAGCCUAUGAGGGCAGCACUGGCUGUAGUAGAUUGUUUCUGACAGUACCGUGUGGUCAGGGCUGGGAGAAGGAUGCUGGGUGUGAGCAGGCUCCCAGAAGUCCAUGCGCUGGAAACAGUGUGCAUGACGGGGACCAGAGGAAGGUGCUGGGAGGUGCGGGGCUAAAUGUUUCUCUCACAGGAGUUGGGAAGGUCUCUUGAGAUUUCGGCCUUUCUGGGCCUUUCUGAUGCCUGUCAUUGGGAUAGUAGACUUCCCAGCCACUCGAACCAAAACAAAAGCUCUUUUCUUGUAAAUGAUCUCAUCUCCAGUGUUCUGUCACAGCAACAGACAAGUGGCCUGAGACACAGGAAGAAGUAGAUGGGAGGGGAGGUGGCCAGAGAAAGCCCCCCUGUGUUGAGACCGAAGGGAAGAUGAGGAGGCUGUCAGGACGACUUGGGACGAUGUUCAGGUGUGUGUGUGUGUGUGUGUUUGUGUGUGUGUACCCCGGGGACAGACUGAGAAACAGGAAGCAGUUGGUAGACAGAGCUGGGAUGAGUGGCGAGGAGCCAUGCACACAGCCCGCUGUGCUGAGAACCGAGGGAAGAUGUUACAGGUUAGGAAUGUGAACUAAGACAUGUGAAGGAGACCCUGACGAUUUAUCGGAUUUAUAAACUCACGGUUGUUUAAAUACAUCCCUCUUCAUUUUGCCACGCGAAAUUCAUCUACAACAGAGGAGUAAUUUAAUUCUGAUGCUAAAUUAACUGUUCUUUGCCUCUCCACAAGGCCACAUGCUUUUGGGUUUUCUUCCUUUUCUUUCUUUCUUUUUUUUUUGCAUAACUUAAUUCAAUUUUUCGGCUUUUGCCACAAUUUCUUCAGCUCCUACGCACUUUUGAGGGCGGUUAUAGUGUUAUUAUCUUAUUAUUAGUCACUAACUGGAGAUAAUCCACUUUUCCAAUUGAUCUAUGCUGCUUGAAAAUGCCUGCCCCACAGGCAGGUUUGCAAGUUUUGAGAGCUGGAGGAGACACGAACGUGACCAGAGACAUUGACCUUCUGGCUGCAGUGACCUGUGGUCAAGUUUCAAAGGGACAUCGUGAGGCAAAUUGUCAAGGUCACUGGCAGGGUCAAGUGCCUGCAUCAACUCUCCAGUUGUGUGUGCUUAGCAGGUGACACAGUUCCUGCCACUCUCUAUCCGUUCUGAGUUUACUUCUGCCAGUAUUGAGUACAAAUAGAUGUGCAGUUGGACCCUCUCCUCAUACAAUCUGCAGACGGAAUCUCUCUACAUCCAGCCUAUGGAUGAACCCUCUCUAUACAUACGCUAUGGAUAUGCCUUGGAAGAAGGUGCCUAGAUCACCCACGAAUCUGGGGAGGUACCUGGAGUGUUCACUGUGGGUGAGCAAGGAAGGUUUGGGGUGCAAACAGCCGUGGAGCUCACUUAAGGAAGGAUCUCCCCUGAAUCUGUGUGCUGGAACAGAGAAGGAUGAGGUCAGAGCAUUCAGUGGACUCAAAGGAAAAUCAAUGAAUAAAGUGUGUUCCUGCAAUCACCAGGAAGGACAGGCUGUGUGUGGAUGAGCGUCUUCCUGCUGUCAGCUGCUUUUCUUUUUCAUGCUGACAGUGUCGGACAAGCUCUGGGAUUCAUCACAACAAGCAGAGAAGAGGGAAAUGGACAAGAGCUCCUGGUUGGGGCUUAGGGAGAUUCAUGGAGUGUUGGGGGAACCCUGAGGGUGAUAUGGGAGGUGGAGGGACAGAGAAGUGACUUGUAAGGGACAAGGGUACAAAUGACAGUGUCCAUGAAGUUUGGGGACCAUGGGCAUGAGGCCUGAGUUGUUUGGGAGCCAUAGGUUGCUGGACUAUAGUUCUUGGGUGACCUUGCCUCCCUUUGAGCUGGGCUACCUGGGUCCUGGCUUUCCAGAGUCACAUGGGACAAAAGAGUUGGCGGCUGGACACGCUGCUUGGACAAGUCAGUGGCCUGGCUAAAGGCUUAGUGAAAAGUCAGUGGUUUAGAGGUAAGACUUUGUCUUGUGCUGGCAAUGCAGCUCAGCUGACGGAGUGCUUGUCUAGCAUUGCCUGAAGCCCUGGGUUCAGCUCCAACACUGCAUAAACUAGCAAGGUAUUACCUGCCCGUAAUCCCUGCUCUCAGGAGACUGAGGUAAGGCAACAAGAAGUUCAAGACCAUCCUUGGUUACAGAAGGACUUAGGGGACAGCCUGAGCUACAUGAGACAUGUGGGGUCUGGGGUCUUAAGUCUUAGGUAAAAAGUCAGAGGUGAUCAAUAUCAGAGCCAUUUUGGCCUGGCUCCUGGUCGAUCCCUCCUUCUUUCAGUGGACACAUUAGGUUGGAAGCACCAGCAAUAGUCCAGAGCCCUGGGUUGCUGUGGUUCACUUGCAUCUGUAAGCCUAGAUCAAAGCUCAGUAUACGUAUUGAUCACCUGAGAGAUUCUGAGAGUAAUACUUAGAGACCAUGGAGUGUAAUAAAAGCCAUGGGAACAGGCCUUUCUCUCCCUCCCUCAAGAUGCCUUACUAUACCACACUGAUGGAGCUGUCGUCAUGGACAAUAACAGGUCCUGGACAAGGAGAGACCACAGGAAGUGCAGAGACACAGAGACUUACAGCCCAAGGAGUUGUCCAGGCAGAGAACACUUCAGUGGGCUCGAAUCUGGGUCACACUGGUUCAAAGAACGUGAGACUAAGUCCCCGUUGCUUGUGUUGUGGGUGCAGCCAUUCUUCCCGGUUGUAGAUACGGCCGUGAGCACACAGGAGGGUUUGGAAGGGGUCUCUUCUUUUGCAGGCUUUCUUGGAUUGAAUCUAGAAUCCCCGUGUGUCAAGCAAGUACACAUCUUCUUAUUUUUUAUUCUGAGACAAGUUUCAGUAAAUUGCCCAAGCUGGCUUUGAACUUGUGAUCCUCUCACCUUAGCCUCCUGAGUAGCUGGGAUUAGAUGCCUAGAAAUGAGAUAAAUCUUAGUGGGAGAAAGACCUGCUGGCUUUUGUCAUCUGACCUGCCCAGCGAUUGGUCCAUCCAGGCUCCCUUUUCUUCAUUGUUCUCAACUUGAACUCUGGGACGUACAAGUCACUCUCUCCUGUCUAAGUGUCUCCCGAUAUCCUUUAGUGGUGCGUGUUCCGGGCACUGGAAAGCUCUGAGUUCCUUUCUCCUUCAGUAGUUUUCGUGUGGUGUAGGGAAUCUGCUGGGAAGCCACCUCCUUGGACUCUAAGUGACUGGGAAAAUCACUCAGCUAUUUAUGUGAAGUGCCAUCCCCCUUACCUGACUCUUUGAUCAUCAGAGACAUUAAAGGGAGAUGUUCAAGGUUACAGAGUUUCCAUCUCCUGGGACGGCUGGGUCUGCGGCCUUUCACGGAAAGGUAGGAAGACAGCUCUUACCAGCAAUGGGGCAGGGGGAGUCAGAAGGGGUGAAUCUUUGAUGCAAUGUCACCUUCGAUGCCCCAGAGGGUUGUGAAGGUGAAUGCAUUUAAUGGUCACGAUGAGGUGUAGAUGUUAGAGCGGUAACAUUAACAGUACUAACAUUAAUGUGGCCACUCUAUUAACAUAUGCACAACCCAGAUGCUCUUAUCAAAAUAUACGUUCAUACUACCGUGGGAAUGUCUGAUGACGUACCAUAACACAGACCUCAAAUAUUGAACAACAGAUGCUUAAACUAAAGAGGCAAAUUACUGAGGCUGUGAGUUUGAGAAACAGUAAAAUUGAGUGACUAAGAAAAAGGCUUCUGGAGCCAGUUAAAUUUGAGUCAAAAUUUCAGCUCUGCACUUUCUCAUGGAGUGCAUGACAGUGGGUCAGAGUCUUACCUUGCCUCAUAGAAUCAUUGUGUGCCUUUUAGAAGCAAAGUAAGGGGAAAGUGCCUGGCACAUAGUAGGUUUGCUCAACAUUCUGGUGAACAAGAUCUGGAGGGGGAUAGGCUAGAGGAAGCCUCUCUUGGGAUCCUGAACCUCACCUGCAGUGUCCCUGGCUUCACCUCUGUUCAUCCUAUUAAAGCACUGACUACCUACUAUGUGCUGGUA